rnacentral:rRNA from 1 species
UACGUAGGGGGCAAGCGUUGUCCGGAUUUAUUGGGCGUAAAGAGCGUGUAGGCGGCUUGGAAGGUCAGCUGAUGGAAAACUCGACGGCUCAACCUCGAGACGUCGGUUGAAACCACCUGGCUAGAGUCCGGAAGAGGAGAGUGGAAUUCCCGGUGUAGCGGUGAAAUGCGCAGAUAUCGGGAAGAACACCCGUGGCGAAGGCGGCUCUCUGGGACGGUACUGACGCUGAGA